rnacentral:rRNA from 1 species
GACGAACGCUGGCGGCGUGCCUAAUACAUGCAAGUAGGACGCAAGGAAACACACUGUGCUUGCACACCGUGUUUUCUUGAGUCGCGAACGGGUGAGUAACGCGUAGGUAACCUGCCUAUUAGCGGGGGAUAACUAUUGGAAACGAUAGCUAAUACCGCAUAAUAUUAAUUAUUGCAUGAUAAUUGAUUGAAAGAUGCAAGCGCAUCACUAGUAGAUGGACCUGCGUUGUAUUAGCUAGUUGGUAAGGUAAGAGCUUACCAAGGCGACGAUACAUAGCCGACCUGAGAGGGUGAUCGGCCACACUGGGACUGAGACACGGCCCAGACUCCUACGGGAGGCAGCAGUAGGGAAUCUUCGGCAAUGGACGAAAGUCUGACCGAGCAACGCCGCGUGAGUGAAGAAGGUUUUCGGAUCGUAAAGCUCUGUUGUAAGUCAAGAACGUGUGUGAGAGUGGAAAGUUCACACAGUGACGGUAGCUUACCAGAAAGGGACGGCUAACUACGUG